UACGUAGGGGGCAAGCGUUGUCCGGAUUUAUUGGGCGUAAAGAGCGUGUAGGCGGCCUGAAAGGUCAGCUGUGAAAACUCGAGGCUCAACCUCGAGACGUCGGUUGAAACCAUCUGGCUAGAGUCCGGAAGAGGAGUGUGGAAUUCCCGGUGUAGCGGUGAAAUGCGUAGAGAUCGGGAGGAACAUCAGUGGCGAAGGCGGCCAUCUGGGACAACACUGACACUGAGGCACGAAAGCGUGGGGAGCGAUCCGG
rnacentral:rRNA from 1 species